AUUUAAAUAGUUUAAUAAAAAUAUUGAUUUGUGGAAUCAAAGUUAUACAUUAGUAUUUUAAAUU
rnacentral:tRNA from 1 species